CACCGUACCACUAGUACGCUCGCCGGCUCACAUAGCAUCCGUUGAGGUUAGGAGGCCGUGGUUCGGCAGGACUCGGCUGCGUAAACACUGCUUCGCUGGAUGGGCCACACAUACAAAGCGUGACCAUUCAAGGUUGGCAUCUGAGAAAGGUGAUUGAGAGCAACAGAAAAGCGGCGACAGUGCAAGCGGGACACAUUAACAUCCAUUCCUACGCACCUAUUUCCAGAAGAUGGUUCGGACCAAGAAACAGGGUACACGUUCGCGCCAGCCGUCGCUCGUUCAUGGAGCUCCAAUCAGCGCCAACCAAGUCAGGUACCUGGAAUUACUGGUUGAAGAUCUGGAAUGCACGGUGGAAUCAACACUCGCCACAAGCCAAGCCAUCGCAGACCGUAUCUGCCGCUACACAGACAUGUGGUAUAACCACAUCAUCCGCACAGUACCCAAGCCUCGUUACCAACUCCAGACAUGUCAAUGGCCCCAGCAUCGUGUUCAAGCUCUGCUGGCUCAUCGCUUGUAGCCAGUAUCUCUGGUGAUGUUGACCCAUCAACCUCUAAACAGCUACAGCGAGCCAAAGUUAUGGCCAGUGUAGAGGCGAAGAAGAAUCGCUGGACCAUCAGCAAUGCAUCGAAGGUGCCGCCGAAAGGGAGCCUGGUAACUCCAAUCAAACACGUCUGCACCGGUGGAAGGGCAUCGGUCAUCACACCUAAGUUUAACAUCCGGCAAGUACAGCUUUUCACUCAAUCAUUGAAAUGAGGGAUUUGCCUAAAACAUUAAAUAGGCACUGAUUUCAGCCUUAGCAAAGAAACAAAACGCAGCAUUCUAUAUAUGAGAUGUAUUGUGGUGCGAAGGCACAAUCACGAAGAAGACAUUUAGACAAUGUCGCAGGUGUGUGUGAUGCCCGUGACAUGUCCAUGUGUCUUUGUGUCUUCUUUGCCCAACAAGUCCUCCUGCAGUAUAUUCGAGAUGAUUUGGCAAAGACAUCAAGCAAUUAUAAAAGAAGUAUAGUAGAGGUAGAACAAUCAUCUUUUUGCAGCUUGACAUACUUUACCCUGGCGUACAUUAAUAUUGCAUUAAUCAUG